AAUUCGAAGCAACGCGAAGAGCCUUACCAGGCCUUGACAUGCAGAGAACUUUCCAGAGAUGGAUUGGUGCCUUCGGGAACUCUGACACAGGUGCUGCAUGGCUGUCGUCAGCUCGUGUCGUGAGAUGUUGGGUUAAGUCCCGUAACGAGCGCAACCCUUGUCCUUAGUUACCAGCACGUUAUGGUGGGCACUCUAAGGAGACUGCCGGUGACAAACCGGAGGAAGGUGGGGAUGGCGUCAAGUCAUCAUGGCCCUUACGGCCUGGGCUACACACGUGCUACAAUGGUCGGUACAAAGGGUUGCCAAGCCGCGAGGUGGAGCUAAUCCCAUAAAACCGAUCGUAGUCCGGAUCGCAGUCUGCAACUCGACUGCGUGAAGUCGGAAUCGCUAGUAAUCGUGAAUCAGAAUGUCACGGUGAAUACGUUCCCGGGCCUU
rnacentral:rRNA from 1 species